rnacentral:rRNA from 1 species
GACGAACGCUGGCGGCGUGCUUAACACAUGCAAGUCGAACGGAAAGGCCCCUUCGGGGGUACUCGAGUGGCGAACAGGUGAGUAACACGUGAGUAACCUGCCCUUGACUUCGGGAUUACUUCAGGAAACUGGGGCUAAUACCGGAUAGGAAUCCUUGCUGCAUGGUGGGGGUUGGAAAGCUUCGGCGGUUUUGGAUGGACUCGCGGCUUAUCAGCUUGUUGGUGGGGUAGUGGCUUACCAAGGCUUUGACGGGUAGCCGGCCUGAGAGGGCGACCGGCCACAUUGGGACUGAGAUACGGCCCAGACUCCUACGGGAGGCAGCAGUGGGGAAUAUUGCACAAUGGGCGGAAGCCUGAUGCAGCAACGCCGCGUGCGGGAUGACGGCCUUCGGGUUGUAAACCGCUUUCAGCAGGGGCGAAGCUUGUGGUGACGGUACCUGCAGAAGAAGCACCGGCUAACUACGUG